rnacentral:snRNA from 1 species
GGGUGUGAGGGCAAUCUGACUGUGACAUCUGUCACCCCAUUGAUUGCCAGGGUCGAUCCAGCCGAUCUGGCUGGCUAGGCGGGUGUCCUCUGCCUCCCUCACUGCUCCCUCCUGAAGCUGCGUGCUUGGUCGAAGAGAACGGCCUUCCCCAAAUAGAGAUGGACCAGUCUUCAGUCUAAGUGUAUGAGUAGCUGUGCUCCCCUGCUAGGACCUCCAGACCAGCUCUCAAGAAUGAGGUCUGGGGCAUGUUUUUUUAAUUGUCUGU